GUGGGUGUAGCUCAGUCGGUAGAGCGCUGGAUUGUGGUUCCGGUUGUCGCGGGUUCGAUCCCCGUCACUCACC
rnacentral:tRNA from 1 species